AUACGGAGGGUGCAAGCGUUAUUCGGAAUCACUGGGCGUAAAGCGCGCGCAGGCGGCCUGAUAAGUUGGAUGUGAAAGCCUACGGCUCAACCGUAGAACUGCAUCCAAAACUGUCAGGCUAGAGUGUGGGAGAGGAAGAUGGAAUUAGUUGUGUAGGGGUAAAAUCCGUAGAGAUAACUAGGAAUACCAAAAGCGAAGGCAAUCUUCUGGAACACUACUGACGCUGAGGCGCGAAGGCGUGGGGAGCAAACAGGAUUAGAAACCCCGGUAGUCC
rnacentral:rRNA from 1 species